CCAGGAUCCUGCUCUCCUGCCUGGCUGGCCCUUUCCCUCAGUCCCCUGUCCCACUCACCUGCUGGAGAGGGCCUGCAGGGCUAGGGAAUGGUACUGUUUCCUGUUCUGUGGGGCUGGGCGCUCAUGGCUGCUGUGACUACAGAUGCCACUGCAAGCUUCGUGGAACAAAAGCCCAGGUGGGUCCUGGUAGCUCAUGGACGGGCUGAAACCCUGCGCUGCAUCCUGAGAAAUUCCCAGUACCCCUGGAUGAGCUGGUACCAACAAGAUCUCCAGGGGCAACUCGAGGUGCUGGCCACUCUGCGGUAUUCUGGGGAUGAGGAGGUCGUAUCUCAUCCUGGAGCAGAUUACCGGAUCAAACGGGUGAAUGACACCGAGCUGAAGCUACACGUGGCCAAUAUGACCCAAGCUAGAACUCUGUACUGCACCUGCAGCAAAGACACAGUGAGAAACCCUCCUUGGACAACUGAAUAA